CUCUAACCCUGUGGUGUGUUUGUAACAGUGAAACAGAACACACACGUUGUGGCAUCCAGAACAACAGAGGCUCUAUCAUGUUCAUCUUUAUGAUUCUGGGUCUGCUGGCUGGCAUCCAGGCACAAGAGAUAUCUGGGGUUGGUUUCUCUAUCUACAGGCUGAAGAUAUACGUGGUCUCGAUCGGUCUGGUCAUCAUGAUGUGUGCCGUCAUCAGUGUUCACGUCGUAGAGAAGCUUAAGAAGAAAA